GGGGAAUAUUGCGCAAUGGGCGAAAGCCUGACGCAGCGACGCCGCGUGAGGGAUAAAGGUUUUCGGAUCGUAAACCUCUGUCAGAAGGGAAGAAACUACGUUGUGCUAAUCAGCAGCGUACUGACGGUACCUUCAAAGGAAGCACCGGCUAACUCCGUGCCAGCAGCCGCGGUAAUACGGAGGGUGCAAGCGUUAAUCGGAAUUACUGGGCGUAAAGCGCACGUAGGCUGUAGUGUAAGUCAGGGGUGAAAUCCCACGGCUCAACCGUGGAACUGCCUUUGAUACUGCACAACUUGAAUCCGGGAGAGGGUGGCGGAAUUCCAGGUGUAGGAGUGAAAUCCGUAGAUAUCUGGAGGAACAUCAGUGGCGAAGGCGGCCAUCUGGCCUAAUACUGACGCUGAGGUACGAAAGCAUGGGGAGCAAAC
rnacentral:rRNA from 1 species